rnacentral:lncRNA from 1 species
CAGUCCGCUCGAAUGUGUCCUCCUGUGAUUUACUGCAAGCGAGUCCACUGAGGAGUGCCAAGUUCUCCUGCAGAGCAUGAUGAGCAUCAAGCCUAGCAAGAAAGUGGAUGAAAGUAGUGAUCGAUGUGCUUCCCAGAUCUUUGGACGUGAUUAUGUCAAUGAUAAGCCCAAAUGCCGACCUCUUCCAGCGUAGCUUUAGAAGCUCCUUUGCCGAAUCGCUGAGAGCUUGCGGCGCUGCCGGGGAUCUAGACCGCGCGCGGCGCCUCCACGCCGGGAUCCUGUCCCUCUCGAGCAGUGCCGAUCGCCCAGCAAGCGUCUAUCUCUUGAAUCUGGUCGUGGAGAUGUAUGGCCAGUGUGGCAGCGUGCGCGAUGCCAAGGCCGCGUUUGAUUCGAUCCGGGAGAAGAACCAGUAUAGCUGGAACAUCCUCAUCGCGGCUUUCGCAGCGAAUGGAGAGAUCGAUGAGGCGCUCGCGGCGUUUGAGAGGGCGCCGAGCGUGAAUCUGGUGACCAAGAACAGCAUCCUGGGUGCAUUUGCCCGGAGUGGGGAUCUGGAGAGAGCGAGGAGAUUCUUCCGGGAGGUGAUGCCCUUCCACGACAUCGUCUCGUGGACCGCGAUGAUCACAGCCUGUGGCAGCGCUAUUGCCGAGGCUCGAGAGAUCUUCGAGAGGAUGCCCGAGAGGAACAAGGUGUCCUGGAAUGCGAUGCUCGCGGCGCUUGCCUCGGCUGGAGAGAUUGGCGAUGCCGCUGCGCUCUUCGAUCGGAUGCCUGUCAGGGAUCUCAUCUCCUGGACGGCGAUGGUCCAGUGCUGCUGCCUCGGCGGAGAUCUUCCAUCGGCGAGGAGAUACUUCCACCAGAUGCCUCGCCACGACGCCAUCGUCUGGAAUGUGAUGAUCGAAGGCCACGCCCAGCGCGGCGAGCUGGAAGAGGCCAAGGAUCUUCUCGACGCGAUGCCACACCCCAAUGUCAUCUCUUGGACGAGCCUGGUCACGGCCUACGCUAGGAGCGGCGAUCUGGAUGGAGCCAGGAUGAUCUUCGAGAGAAUCCCCCGGCACGACCACGACGAGCUCUCCUGGAACGCGAUGAUCGCUGCGUAUGCGCAGAGUGGCAACGUUGCCGAGGCGGAGGAGCUGAUCCAAUCCAUGCCACAGCCGAUCGAUGCCGAGAAUUUGGAGGAGCUAGAGGAGAGAAUGCGCCAUCUGGAUCAAGAUGAUCGGCCUGGGCACGAAGAUCUUGAAGAGCCUGGGGUUUCUGCCGGGAGAAUCAAGGCCGCCGCGCCCUGGAACAAGAUGAUCGCGGCGCUGGUGAAGAAGAAUCACCUGGAAGAGGCGCGCUGGGUCUUCGAUCGAAUGCUAGAGCCGGACAUCGCCUCGUGGACGCUCCUCCUCUCGGCCUACUUCCAGCGCGGCCAUCUCCAAGAAGCCCAGAGCAUAUUCGACGCCAUGCCGGCGAGAGAUGCCCGGGCAUGGACGGUCCUCCUGCGGGGAUAUGCCCAGCUCGGGCAUGUCCAUCACACGUGGAGGCUCUUCGCCACGUGUCCAAGCCUGGACGCUGUCACGUGGAACGUGGCCAUUGGCGCGCUCGCCUCGAGCGGCUUGCUCGUGGAGGCGGUGGAGCUCUUCUAUGGGAUGCUCUGCGUGGGAGAAAACCCAAGCGAGGCCACAUAUGCGGCAGCGAUCAGCGCUUGCGUCCACUUGGGAUUGGUGGAGGAAUCCCAGCGACAAUUCCGAAGCAUGGUGUUGGAUCUGGGUCGCGCGCCCAAUGUGAAGCUCUACUCGUCCAUGGCCGAUUUGCUUGGGCGGGCUGGGGAGGUGGCGGCGUCCAAGGAGCUCGUGGAGAGUAUGCCAUUUGCGAGUGAUGCGGUCGUGGAGGGAGCGAUGCUGGGAGCUUGCAAGAUCCAUGGCGAUCACUACGGUUAGCCGUUAAGUUCCAAUUCAGCUGAAACUUUCAUGCUCUGGAGAGGAGAUGUCAGUUGCUACACCUGGAUUUGAUCAAGCCUCAGCAGCAUCAGCCUCCUCACGAGCUUGACCGUGGAGCUCGAGGGGCGAGAUGGAAACAUCGAUCUCCCCGCGCGCUGGAGCCGCAGAGGGAGCUUUACGGCUCCAAGAUCUUCUUCCAGUUCCAUGUCGCCGAAAUGUGAGAGUAGCAUUCCCUUGUCUCUUCCCACGAGCUUGGAGUCGAUCGAGGUGUGCGCUUGUCGUCGAUGGGAACCAUGCCAAACAUGGUGGCGUCAGGAAGAACAAUCGCGGUGGUGAUGGGAAGAAGAGAUCCUGGAGGUAGGAACUGGUAACUUCAAUGGACUCUGCAAAGCGACUGCUGGAAUACGCUGCCAUCAGAACUUGCUGCAAAGAAAAAUACCACCACAACAUCAUCGUCUGGAACGCGCCUCCUAGCGCGAUCAGGAAUAUUGCCAGAGUGGUGAUCUUGGCCAAGCUAAGGCGUGUUUGAUGCGAUAGCGUGGCGUUACAUCGUAGCCUGGAAUGCAAUCGCUUGGGGAAUUCGAACGAGCUAUGGAGCUCUUUUGUUAAAAAUCCUCUCAACAUGGCGCUGUUCAAGAGGUGGUUUGGGAGCGGUGUAGCAGCCCAGUGGGAACUUGUUAGCGCGGCUUCUCACCCACAAGCUCGAUGUCUGGUAAGUUGAGCAGGAUUUGGCCCUCAAAAUUGUGACUUUGCUGCGAGUUCCUGCAUUGCAGCAUGGAGCUGUCGUGCUCGAUGAAAAGAUGUAUGUCGUCGGGGGACGCUGUGAGGACAAAUACAUGAGCGAUGCGCUGGUAAACUUCUUCUGGCUUUGUGUCUCGUGAUUUUUCUUACGGUGUCGUGAUUUUCCUCCGCAAGGUUUUGGAUUUGAGAAACUGGAUUUGGACUUUACUUCCAUCUUGUCCUGUGUCUUGUGCCGGACAUCGUUUGGUGAGCUACUGAGAGCUAGUUUUCUUUCUUCACAGUCACACUAUCUAUCUAGGUGGCAAGAGGAUCGACGCUCUUUGGAAUCGUUGGGAUUCCAUCAGACGAAAGAUUGCGAGGUAGACAAGGUUUGAGGCUUUCUUUGACUGAGUCUGGCUCUCUUUUGUGUAGUGUACGAGUUUGAUGCAAUGGAAUGCUUGUGGUCACUUGCACCAGCGAGUGGAGAACGCUCCGGUAAGGAGUCCUUGCUAUUUCUUGCCAAGAAAUAUCUCUUUUCUAGGCUGGAACGCGUGGUCACUCAGCUACCUUGGUUGGGAGCAAAGUAUGGGUCUAUGGUGGCGAGGACUUUCACGGUCGAACGCUUGACGACGUCUACGCCUUUGAUCUGGAAGCGAAGGUGUGGGAACGUUUGAGUACAGUUCAUGUAACCUCACCUCGUCGUCUUCUUUCACUGUAGUGGCAUGCGUCCACCGCAUUGUUUUCAUGGCGAUGCUUCCGUCAACGGCAAUUAUCUCUACCUUUUCUCCGCCUGCGACAACAAGCUGUACAUGUUGGAUCUCAAAACUGUGAGCGAGACACGCUUUUUGCUGAAAGCUCAAGAACUGAUAGUCGCUGUUGUGCAGAAACAAUGGUCGUCCGCGCCCCUGGAGCUUCCUGCUGCGCCAACGUCCAUCGCUGGAAUGCUACAUCGUUGGUGGUAUGCUAUUCCACUAAUCAAAUCGUCAUUGCUACUACGUGUUUCCCACAGGCAUGCUGCCUCAAACGAUGCUGCUCAACAUGAAGUCGCGGAAGUGGACUCCUGUGUGCAUGGAGCUUCGUCUGCCUCGCGAGGUAUCACUCACAGACUUGAGACGCUUUUAAACGUCGGUAAUUACUGAGUGAAUCAUUUGCAGGGCCUGAGCCUGGUGCACGCGAAGAUCAAAGACCAAGCUUGUGUCAUUGCCUCUGGAGGUGAUCACGGUCAGGUAUGUGUGAUGGUCAGCUCUUUGCAGCAUGAUUUGAGUCGCAUUUCCCUGCAGUUGAGCGUGUUCAAGCUCGAUACCAUGAAGUCCUACCCGGCUACGCCAUCCAAAGCAGACUUGCCAAGCUUCUGCCGCGUGAGGGACAGGGAUGGCUCCGUUGUAGGGACUGUGUCGGUUUCGGAAGGAGGCAAACCGGUAGCGGACGUUGCCGGAGCCAUCGAACUUCUCACGGGUCAGGCCGGGAAUAGAGUGGCUUUGACUCGCGGCGAUCUGGUUUAUCCCGGAGAGGACCUAGAGUUUUACGAAGUGCUCAAGCCUGGCAACAUGGACCUGCAUCGCAUGAAUCUAUGCGCCUGCAAGCGUUUCUUGUCCCGAAUGAACAUCAAAGUUAUGAGAGGAGAGGGAUGGCUAGUGCCUCUGAUGGAAUUCGACGCAGAGCCCUUCGUGUGGACGUGGAAUGUCACAAGAGAAGCGACGAUGAACUAUCUGUGGCGGCAUGGAGUGCCGAGGUAUGCUGAGAGUCCAGUACGCAGUAAACUGUGACAGGGAACGCGAGCGCGUAGCAUGCUACUCCAAAACAAACUUUCCAUUCAAGCUCAAGUUCGAGAUCCACACAGUCUUGAGAAACGUCCUGGGUGACGACACCACGAUUGGUUUCUGGAUGGAGGAGAAGAUGAUUGACGAGCUGCUCUACAAGGCUAUGGUGGCUUGCCUGGGCUUGAACAUCAGGAACCCAACGCUAAAGUCAUGGAUGGUGGUGUCGGACCUCUGGCAUUUUGUGUGGAUGAACAGGAAGAACUUGUUCGUGUGCAAGGCGUCGAGCCGGAGCCAAGGACUUGAAAUCAUCCGCGACCUCGGCCACGAUUACAACCGGGGUCACCAACAACGAGGUUCCUGGCUUGUUCUCCAACUUGCCGGCGGUGACGAGUCGGGAUCCGGUGGGCGUGGAGUGCGAGAACCCCUUGCGCUCGCCACCGUUCCUCUAUGGGAGAGGCGUGAAUGAAGCUGGCGAGGUCGAGGUGUGGAAACUUGAUGGUAGCUUGCGCUGGACAAUCACCCAGGAAGACAACUUGCUUUGCGCAAAAGCAGGUGACACCGGAUCGUGAUAUCACAGUCAGAGAUAUGUGUGAACCGGCACAAGCCAUUUCAGUCGGCCAUGAAGUUUUGACUUUGAGUAAUCAAACUUGGGCCAAGAUUACUUUUGACUAUGGUUUGGCGAAAGGAUACCUAUCCGGCCCACGUGCUGCCGAAAGAGAUUGUGGGAUAAAGACUUUCAUAUAAUUCUAUAUAAAUUUGUCAAGAAAUGCUGCCUGCCAAGACUUUGUUGCAAGGAUAGGUUGUCUGGUUCUACCUAUCAUUUCUUUGAGUCAAAUGCAAAGGCAUCACGCAUCACGCUUCGAGUGAGUAAUUCUACUUCCACGGAUAGCGUGGCUGACAAAAUAAACGCUCUACAGCAAUGGUGUUUCGGACGUUAGGACAUGGUAAAAUUCCAUUUCUCUCUGUAAACUCAAUAACUUUUUGAAUCGCUUGAACCCUGGUGAUGGUCAUGGAAAGUGAUAUUAUAUUUCUUUUUAUUCUUCUUCUUCUUCUUUUUUAUUUUUUUUAUUUUUAAAUUAUGAUUGGACUAUUUCUGUGCUUCUGGAAAUCAACUUAGAAGCUACCAUUCAUCUCUUCCUGUACGAUAAAACUGAUAUUUCACCUUAAACUCUCCGGGGAAGUAAUCUACAAGCAGGAGUAUGGCUCAACUCAUCCAGAUCCUUGCGGUGGUAUUUUUCUAUGCAGCAAGUUCUUGGGCGGCAUCGGAUCCUAGCAAUCACUUUGCAAAGUGCACUGAAGUUAUCAGCUUCUACCAACAGGAUCUCUUCUUCCCAACACCCGGGCUGAACAUCACCACCGCGAUUGUUCUUCCAGGCACGAACAACGCCACCAUGUUUGCCCAGGUGGCCAUCAUUGACGACAAGCUCACACAAGCCCCCUCGAUGGACUCCAAGCUCGUGGGGAGAGCCAAGGGAAUGCUAGUGUUUGAUUCUCUCAGCAACAUCAGCCUCCUCACGAGCCUGACCGUGGAGCUCGAGGGGCGAGAUGGAAACAUCAAUCUCCUGGGCCAGAGCCGUGCGCUGGAGCCGCAGAGGGAGCUUUCAAUCGUGGGCGGAAGUGGGGAGUUUCGAUUUGUCCAAGGGUUCGCAACGCUGCGAACGUAUUCGCUGGAGCCUUACGGCUCCAAGAUCUUCUUCCAGUUGUAUGUGAUCAAACUGUGGGAGUGCUUGAUCAAAUCCCAGGUGUAGUGACCGAGAUCUCCUCGAAUAAAAAGUUUCAGCUGAAUUGGGAGCACUCCCAGCAUCGCUCCCUCCACGACCGCGUCACUCGCAAACGGCAUAAUCUCCACGAGCUCCGCAAUCUUCCCAUCUUCACGCUGGCGAUCCGAGUUGGCGCUGGGAUUCUUCCACCAAACUCACGCCACCAUGCCUGAGCUGACCGGGCAUGGCGUCGAAUAUGCUCUGGGCAUUUCGCCCUGGAAAGAAAGAAGAAUCAUCCGGAAGAUCCAUCGAAAUGCUGCUCGGCGCUGGCGCUGGCUAUGCAGCGUUUCACGGCUGGAAUGGUCCCGGACAUUGCAUCCAGCGCGGCCAGCGAUGAUUUUCCCGAAGCAACCUUUUUUUCUAUAAAAUUUCUCAUUGAAGCUCAGAAGAAGGGGCUCAUGCAGUUGAAAAGGUCAUCAAUCUAUGUGGUGUGCAACGCAUUACACUUGCGAGAGCCGUGCCAAGAACGUUUGAUCCUGCAUUUAGCUUCGUCAAGUUUUAUAACCAAACCAUGCAUUAAACAAGAUGAUCUUUGUGAUCUUCUUUAGGAUCAUAGAUGCACAGGCAUUUGCAUGGCUCUUCGGAGCCGGUCCCAUGCCCAAACAAGCUGCUGUGACUGUAAAAACAUCUAUCUAUCUCGUGUCCAUGAGGCCAAUACCAAAAGUAUCCUAAUGGACCAUACUUCGUGGUAGACAAUUGGACGAUGGAAGCUAAGUAAGCUUUAUAAUGGACUACAAAUCUCAGCGUGGACGAGAGAAGCAUGCACACUCGUGAGAAAUGUCUAAUAAUUUUUUUUUAGUUGGCUUUUGACACUCCAGAGGUCCUGUAGCUGAGAGUUGAGAGCUUUCGAUGUUCUAGAGGACGCGACACAGCGAGGGGUCUUAAACUGAGCUGGAGACAUGCCGUUCCUGACGGCCUCCUCCAUCAGCCUCUCGAGCGUUCCUUUCUUGACAAUCACCAGCUCGAACGAAUUGAUCAGCCCGUCCAUCCCUUUUCUCGUGCUCUGGAUUGUGUACGUCCACGCAGCACUUCUCUAAGUCUUGAGUUUUGGAGUAGUCGAGCUCCAAGAAGAUAGGAGGAACGGUGGCUGGAUUAAUGAAAUUCAACACUUCGAAAUCUCUGGCAUUCUUGCAGACCUUGUUCAGUAGCAUUUGCUUGUCCAUGGUUUCGUUGUUUAUGCAGAACUGUGCUGUUUUCUCUAUUUCAUCUGUAACCAAAGGUUUAAUGUUCUUUAUUCAAGGGGAUGAUGUUGGCAAUGGCUAUGGUGGUAGACAUGGUGACAUGCACAAACAAGCAGCACACGAAACACAAAACACCAUAUGCCAUUAGAAUUAUUUGCAUCAAAAAUUAUUUCGAAUAAUAGAAGUGUAAUAAACAAAAGGUGUCAAAUUAUAAGCAGCCAAGAGAGUUCUUUGAUAUCUUCAUGCUCACGUUCCCUGUCACUGUUCACUACGUAGUGGACUCUCAGCAUGCUGUACCUCGGCACUCCAUGCCGCCACAGAUAGUUCAUCGCCGCGUCUCGCGAGACAUUCCACAUCCACACGAAGGGCUCUGCGUCGAAUUCCAUCAGAGGCACUAGCCAUCCCUCUCCUCUCAUAACUUUGUUUAUCCGGGACAAGAAAUGCUUGCAGGCGGCGAGAUUCAUGCGAUGCAGGUCCAUGUUGCCAGGCUUGAGCACUUCGUAAAACUCCAGCUCCUCUCCGGGAUAAACCAGAUCGCCGCGAGUCAAAGCCACUCCAUUCCUUUGCAGCAAACCGGCCUGACCCGUGAGAAGUUCGAUGGCUCCGGCAACGUUCGCUACCGGUUUGCCUCCUUCCGACGGACACAGUCCCUACAACGGAGCCAUCCCUGUCCCUCACGCGGCAGUAGCUUAGCAAGUCUGCUUUGGAUGGCGUAGCCGGGUGGGACUUCAUGGUAUCUAGCUUGAACACGCUCAACUGCGACUCAAAUCAUGCUGCAAAGAGCUGACCAUCACACAUACCUGACCGUGAUCACCUCCAGAGGCAAUGAGACAAGCGUAGUCUUUGAUCUUCGCGUGCACCAGGCUCAGGCCCUGCAAAUGAUUCACUCAGUAAUUACCGACGUUCAAGUCUGUGAGUGAUACCUCAGGCUCUACGCACACAGGAGUCCACUUCCGAGAUUUCAUGUUGAGCAGCAUCGUUUGAGGCAGCAUGCCUGUGGGAAACACGCAGUCAAAAUGAUAGUGGAAUAGCAUACCACCAACGAUGUAGCAUUCGUCCCCAGAUCCAGUAGCCACAGCGAUGGACGUUGGCGCAGCAGGAAACUCCAUGGGCGCGGACGACUAUCGUUUCUGCGCAACAGCGACUAUCAGUUCUUGAGCUUUCAGCAAAAAGCGUGUCUCCCUCACAGUUUUGAGAUCCAACAUGUACAGCUUGUUGUCGCAGCCGGAGAAAAGGUAGAGAUAAUUGAUUGCCGUUGACGGAAGCAUCGCCAUGAAAACAAAACCCGGUGGACGAUACCACUACAGUGAAAGAAGCCGACGAGGUGAGGUUACAUGAACACACCUCUUUAGGAAUUAUUUCGAACCUUGUACUCCCACGUUCCCACACCUUCGUUUCCAGAUCAAAGGUGUAGACGUCGUCAAGCGUUCGACCGUGAAUGUCCUCGCCACCAUAAGGUAGCCGAGUGACCACGCGUUCCAGCCUAGAAAGAAGAUAUUUUUUCUGGUAAGAAAUAGCAAUUACCGGAGCAUCUCCAGUCGUUGUUACAUGGGGACACAAGCAUCAUCGCUUCAAACUCGUACACUACACAAAUAGACUUGUUUAAGUUGCUUUGCUACCUCGCAAUCUUUCGUCUGAUGGAAUCCGAACGAAAGCAAAGACCGUUGUUCCUCUUGCAACCUGAUAGAUAGUAUUAGCCACUGUGAAGAAAACUAGCUCUGGCAGGAACAGGAUGGAAGUAAAGUCCAAGUCCAGUUUCUCAAAUUCAAAACCUUGCUGAGAAAAAUCACGAUAUCAUAAGGAAAAUCACGAGACAGAGAAGUUUACCAGCGCAUCGCUCAGGUAUUUGUCCUCACAGCGUCCCCCGACAACAUACUUCUUUUGAUCGAGCACGACAGCUCCAUGCUGCAAUGCAGGAAGCAAAGUCACAGUAUUGAGGGCCAAAUCCUGUUAAAUUUACCAGACAUCGAGCUUGUGGGUGAGAAGCUGUGGUAUAGGUUCCCAUUGGGCUGCUGCACCGCUGCCAAACCACCUUUUGAACUAGUAAUAUCCACUAGCUAGUGCAAGAGGCGCCACCAUAGUCUUAACGCAGUGUCCUUAAACCCGUUAUUCCAAGGGUUAGACACUUCUUCCUCUUGGAAUAGAAUUGCCGCAAAUGGUUGCAAUUCGUCUUGCUCCAUGAGCCAGAAGACAUUUAUCGUAUGUCUCAUCUUGGCAAAUGCUUGAAUGAUCAAUGUCCAGGUCAUCGCCGUUUGAUCUUCCAGCUGCUCAAACACACGCUCUAUUAGAUUUAAAUGCGAGUGCCCUUGUAGAUUCUUGGAUCAGAAUGGAUCGAGGCAAAGCAUUCCUUUCGGGCUUUUAAUACCGCUAUUUUCAAAUGCCCAUUUAGAAAAGUAUACAUCAUGAGUUUGAAUUAGGGAAGAUAACUUCAUUAAAAACGAUGGAUUAUCUUCCACGGGAUUGACUAGACUAGGAUUAUCUUCCACGGGAUUGACUAGACUAGGAUUAUCUUCCACGGGAUUGACUUGACUAGUUCCACGGGAUUGACUAGGCUUUACACGAGCAGUGAACCUUGACUAAGUCAACAUUGAAUGAACAAUUUGUGAUUAUCCGCAAGUUGCCGAAAUUACAGGCUUUCUUGGCGGUCAAGGCUACUACGCUUGAAUAGAAUUGGGUAAUAUAAAAGAAUAGCAAACUGCGCUCACAUCAUACUCACUUCUCUCACUCUCACACAUUACAAGCAUCCAUUCACAGCAUCACACACAUUCGCACAAAAAUGGCCGCUUCUGCAAUUGCCGAGUUCGAGGACGCGUGCAAGAAUGCAGCUUCGAUCCAGGAGGAGCUUCUGCUCGGCAUUCUUCGCAAGAAUGCAUGCUGCGAGUAUCUCCAGAAGUAUGGCAGCCCGCUGACAGUUGCUGCAUUCAAAUCCCAGGUCCCAGUUAUUGGCUACGAUGAUAUUCGCAGUGACCUCGAAAGAAUUGCUGAUGGAGAUCGAGGGCAAAUUCUUUGCCAUGAUCCAAUCACCAGCUUCUUCACAAGGUAUCGCUAGGAAGACUUGCUUUCUUGCCAGUUUUUUACACUUGCGAUUAUCUAACAGCUCGGGAACGUCUUCCGGAAAGAACAAGAACAUCCCGGCGACUUACGAGAACACUGUCUCUGUGGUAAAAGUCCUCGAAAGCUCUUACGCUUACAAAACAAAGUAAGUUUCCCAAUCUUGUGGAAAUGUGCUAAGUUGCUGGGUUGUCUGUUUUGAAGCUACUUUGAUCUUGGCAAAGGACGUUCCGUGAGCCUGCUCUAUUUCAAGGAUCUACAUGCAACCAAAUCGGGUCUUGUAUUUGGGCCGGUCACGGCCCAUGGGAUCCGAAGCACGAGAUUCAGGCAGGUCUGGAGGUCUUCACGUACCACCCCUUAUGAGGUUCUCGUCGCCGCAAGUGAUUUUCGCGAGCUAACGUACUGCCACUUGCUGUGCGCGCUGCUCCAACGCCACGAGGUGGAGCAAGUCGAGUGUAUGUACGCAUACAGUAUCUGUGAGGCUCUCCGGCUGUUCCAGAACGAGUACUGGGAAGAGCUUUGCAACGACAUAAGAACCGCCAGCCUGAGCAAAACAAAAGUCACGGAUCCAAAGCUGAGGAAAGCGUUUGAAAGAGCUGGAGUUUUUCGCAGCAAAUGUGGCAACGCAAUGGAAGCCGACAAAAUCUUCAAGAUCUGCAGCAACGAAUCGUGGUCUGGAAUUCUUCCGCUGUUGUUCCCCAAAGCGAAGCUCGUGUCAGCGGUGGUAACGGGCGCGAUGACACACUACGUUCCGACGUUAAGCUUCUAUGCCGGGGAUCAGCUUCCUAUCGUUGGGCAGGGUUUCUUCUCGUCCGAGGGAGGCAUCGGGAUCAACAUCGAUCCUCUUUCUCCUCCAGAGGGCGUCAUCUAUACUGUCACACCCCGAUCUCUUUACUACGAGUUUCUUCCACUUGGUGCUACUGAAGCUCUAAGCAUGCAUGAAGUGGUUAUUGGGGAGCUGUAUGAGAUUCUCGUGACAAACUUUGCAGGUAGACGACAAUUUGGUUCUUUUCUUUAUCUCUAACAGCAAUCUUUCAUGAAAAUGUAUAGGUCUUUACCGCUGCCGGAUGGGCGACGUUGUGCAAAUAACAAGCUUUUUCCAUGGCGCUCCUCAGAUGGCUUACCAUCACCGCAAGAACGCAGUGAUGUGCAUAAACAACGAGACUGUGGACGAGCAAAUGCUACAAAACGUGGUGAACAAGGUCUCAAAGGAUGCCGGAGUUGAAGUGUUGGACUUCAUGAUCUAUGGCGAUCCAGUUGCCGUUCCUCCUUCCUACACGAUCUUCUGGGAGCUCGGGAAUGCCAAAGACUACUCCAAAACUCAAGUCUUGGAGCAGUGCUGUGCCAACGUACUUAAGUCUUUCAAUCCAGAGCAUACGAGAAAAGGCACGGACGGGCUGAUCGAUUCGUUCGAGCUGGUGAUUGUCAAGAAAGGAACGUUUGAGAGGCUGAUGGAGGAGGCUGUCAAGAACGGCGCGUCUCCAGCUCAGUACAAGACCCCUCGCUGCGUCGCGUCCUCGAGAAUAUUGGAAGCUCUCAACUCUGGACGCGUUCACAGCUACAAGAGCUCUGCAAUGUCGAAAGUCAACUAGGAUAAAUUAAUCUAUAUUUAUCUUUGACCGUGACUUCAGCAUUAUUCUAACUAAAUCUACAUUCUUCGUCUUUGACUGUGCCUGCGAUCAAACUUGGCUGCAAGACUCACUAAACUUAGACUCACGACUUGAAGAACUAGAAAAAAGCCUUAGACUCACGACUUGAAGAACUAGAAAAAAGCCUUAGACUCACGACUUGAAGAACUAGAAAAAAGAUCUCUAAAUUCUUCCAGCGCAUCACUUUGGAUCAUGAGAGGAGCCUGGUUCGUGCAUCAACGUGAAAAUUUCUCUAAGUGAAGAACUGAGUCAUGCAUAUACUGUACUGGUCAAAAGCUCUACAUAAAGAAUGGCCUUUUUGACACGACACGAAAGAUCUCAGCUAGUUUAAUGCUGCUUAUAAAACUCGACGAGGCUUUCCAUGUCAAAGCUAGACGCGGGAUCAAACGAUCUUUCCACGGCUCGGUCACUUGUCACAAGUGUAACGUGUUGCACACGACACAGAUUGAUGACCUUUUCAACUGCAUGAGCAGCUCUCCCCAAGUCGGGCCUCAAGUCGAGUUCUUCUUCUUCUGGACUUUCCGAAACGAAAAGGCGGUGAAUUCUCAAAAGGCAUUGACCCAAAAUUUCGUCCUCGGCAUAAUCAAACUCCAGCUGCCAGCCACAAAAUCACAGGUUCACUGCAAGUGUUAGAGUUUAGAGAACAAGCAACUAGGCUGAAAACUCACUUUCGCAAGGAAACCGAGCCCAAGCUCUAGCUCCUGGUAUUCGUCGACCAUGUUAAAUCUGAGCAAGAACAGUUCGUAGAAAUCAACAGAAUCAUGGCCAAAUCCAAAAUCAUCCUUGAGAGACAUGUCAGUUUUGAUAGAGGAAGUGUUUCGAGCUGUUCAUCUUCCCACUCAUAACCCGCCAACACAAGCCCGAACGAACGUUCCCAGAGAUUCUCACUCGCAAAAUUGAUGUAUACCGGCUUAGCCACCACCUUUUCAAGAGAUUCCGCUGAUACUAGAGUCACUUUUCCUCCGCCGUCUACUUCACUGGGAGAGACGAUAAGUUUCUCAAGCCUUGGAGCACUCACGAUGCAAGAAAAUCUGGACGAGAUCUCGAGCUCGAGAGCAUACUUUCCGGUGUUUGGAGGCGUUUCAAAGUAGAACCCAUUGACGUCAUCGUUAAUGUCGGGGUUACCAUAGUCGUCAUGCAAUUUGAGGUAUAUAUGUUUGAGGUUUGGGCACUGGCGCAAGAAUCUGUUGAGUGCCUGGUCCUGCUGCGGAACUGGCACCGUAAGAUCGAGAUGCAAAGUGUGAAGCUCUGGCAGGACGCAUAAACCCGUUGUAAUUUGCCCAAAAUCCUCUCCUGCGACCCGAGGCCGUCAAUUCGCAGCUCUUGGAGGUUGAUGCACUCGGUGGAGAUACGCUGCAAAGUUACAUUCCAUCCAAUCUCUAGCCCCAACAGCGAACUCCCCAAGAGCUUCGUCCAGUUUAGACAGUCUACUUUCAGGGAAGUGCUGCAAAGGCAGAAGCUGGUGAUUUUUUGUAGCCGGGAAGUGACCAUGGAGACCGAGGUUUGCACACAGUCGCAUUCGUCCAGCUCUGCCUUGUGCUUGCAACACCGGCCCAUUUCCGGGCAUGAAAUGCUGACGCCCUCGAACCAUUUCGUGUGAUCGCGCCAGGAGCGGCAGACCCCCGAGAGCGCCAGCAAGAACCGAAAUUCAUCCAGGAGGCCACGAUCUGAUAUACUUUCAAGAGGACAUCAAGCGGCAGUGGGGUCUGUGCACGAGGAAAAGCCGAGGCCAUCGUUAAUGCCGGGGUUACAGACCCCACUCGUGCACAGACCCCACAGACCCCAAUCGACAUUCUGUGCACGAGGAAAAGCCUCGCAACUUACUCCUUUUCCAUAGAAACGAGCCCUAAAAACCGUUUCCUUUCCAAGGAACGGGAAGACGUUUGAAGAAUAUGCCAAAUGGCAUCUUUUUUAGGGGUUUUAAGGAUUAGGGUUCUUCCAAGAAUGCGGGCGCGAUGGUGGGGGGAUGAUCCUGUCGGCGCUCCUUGCGGCGAUCAAGGAAUGCGGCAUCGCCAGAAAUCUGGAGCGCGGGCGCAGGCUUCACGAGCAGGCCAUCCACAGCGGCCACGAUUCAAACAAGUAUGUGGCGGGCAGCCUUCUCAGCAUGUAUGCCAAAUGCGGCAGAAUGGAGGAGGCGCGCAUGGUCUUCGAUUCCAUGCGCCACCGCGAUGUGGUUCCCUGGACGGCGCUGGCAAUGGGUUACGCGGAGAAUGGACAGGAGGAGGUCGCGCUGGAAAUUUUUGGGCGGAUCGAGCAGCCCAAUGCGCUGAGCUUCGUGGCGGCCAUGAGGGCCGUGACGGGGCUAGCGCUGCGCGAGGCGGGGAGAUUGUUCCAUGGGAGGAUUGUCAGGGUGGAAUCGCUCAAGAGAGGCGAGUGGAUCCAUUCGCAGCUCCACUGCCUCGUGUCGGAUAUGGUGGCGAAUUCUCUGCUCGAUAUGUAUGCCAAGUGUGGAUGCUUGGAGAGGGCGCUCUGGAUUUUCGAGAGGAUGCCUUGCCACAGCAUCGUGUCUUGGAACGCUCUUGUGCUGGGCUGUGCCGAGAAUGACGAGGCAGCCAUGGCGGUGGAGCUGUUUGAGAGAAUGGUGGCCGGCAGCGCUUCUGGCCAGAGCUCCACUCCACCGCCACCGAAUGGAAGAAGUUUCGUCUCGGCGCUCAAGGCUUGCUCGGUUCUAGCAUCCCAGGAAGAGAGCAAAGAGAUGGUGGAUGGAAGAGCUGUGAAGAGUCGAGCUUUGGAGAGAGGGAAAUGGAUCCACUUGAGACUUUGUAGCAACAGCGAAGUUGGCCGAGACCACUAUGUGUCGAGCGCACUUCUCGACUUCUACGCAAAGUGUGGGAGCAUGGUGGACGCGCGCAGGGUGUUCGAUCGAAUGCCACAGCACGACUCGGUCACUUUGAACGCGCUACUGCUCGGAUACACGGACAACGGCGAGGACGAGAUGGCCUUGGAGCUGUUCUUGAGCCUCUCCAGAGUUCUCGGUGAUGGGAGGAGUUUCGUGGCUCCUCUCAAAGCUUGCAGCAAUCUGGCUGAGAAGGAACUAGGCCAAAUCGUCCAAGGCCAUGGGAAGCUUGUCAAGCUGGAAACUCUGGAAAGAGGCAUGCUCGUGCACUCGCUGGCAGUGAAAAGCCAGUGUGAGACGGACGUCUUCGUGGCGAGCAUCUUGGUGACGAUGUACGCGAGGUGUGGAAGCAUGGUGGACGCUCGCAAAGCGUUCGACAGGAUGCCAAGUCGCAAUGUGGUGUCCUGGAACUCACUCAUCCUGGGAUACUCCGAGAAUGGAGAGCCCGAGCUGGCUAUCGAGUCCUUCGAGAGCAUGGAACUCCAGGGAAACUCUCCAACUUUUCUAGCAGCGCUCAAGGCUUGUUCCAGCCUUGCCGACAAGGAAGGGGCGAGCUACGUCGAUGGAAAGCUUGUCAAGGCCAAGUCUCUCGAGAAAGGCGCAGCUCUUCACGUCCAAGCUUCCAGAGCUGGCUGCGACUCGGACACCUUUGUGGCGAAUUGCUUGGUGGACAUGUAUGCCAAGUGUGGGGACUUGGCCGAAGCGAGCAGGGUUUUCGAGAGCAUGACGAGCCACAGCGUGGUUUCUUUCAACGCUCUCAUGCUGGCCUACGCCGAGAACCAACAGGGGGACGUGACUUUCGGCUUUUUCUCUCGAAUGGUGCCGGAGGGAUGCCAGCCGAAUGCUCUCAGCUAUGUUGCAGCGAUCAAAGCGUGCUCGAGCUUGGUCACUCUAGACAUUGGCAAGGGAAUCCAGGCUCAAGUCUGCCGCCGCGGCUUGGAGAGUGACCCGGUUCUAGAGGCCAGUCUCGUCGACGUCUUUGGCAAGUGUGGAAGCAUGAUGAACGCUCAGCUGGUGUUUGAUUCAGUCCCCGGCAGGGAUCCAGUGACUUGGACUUCUCUCAUGGUAGGCUACAGUCGACAAUGUGAUUCUCACAUCGUUUUCGAGCUUUUCCAGGAGAUGAAAGAGCAGAGCUUGAGGCCAGACGCGGUGACUUUCAUCGCCAUUCUCACUGCUUGCAGUCACGCGGGCCUGGUGGAGAGAGGCAAGGGCUACUUUCGAGAGAUGAGCUCCAGGUAUGGAGUGGAGCCCCAGAUCGAGCACUACUCUUGCAUGGUGGACAUUCUGGGACGAGCAAACCGGCUGCCCGAGGCGGUGGAGCUGCUGGAAAGAAUGCCGGUGAGAGCGAGCAGGAUCACUUGGUCGACGCUGCUGGGCGCGUGCAAGAAGUGGAAGAACUUGGAAGUCGGGAGGUUUGCGUUUGAUUCGCUCAUGGCGCUGGAUGACAGUGAUCCCGCGGCCUAUGUGCUCAUGUCCAACCUCUAUAACCAGAGCUCGCAAGAGAUUGUGCCUCAUGGAAGUUCUUCUUGAUCAACGGCCUUUCAGCUGAUAUGGAACGACCAACGGCCAAGUGCCGUACUACCCUCGCGAAUAUUCGUACGAAACGCAUAGCGACCUAGGGUUUAUCGUGAGAGGGACAUGGCGGCCAAGAUCCAGCUUCCCUCCACGUUCCUCUCGUAUCUCAUCAUGUUCACGGCGGCGUUCACCGGUGCAUCGAUCGUCCACAACAUCGCCAAGCCGGAUCUGGUAAGCGCGAUUGAUCCAUCGAUUAUUUCUUUCUCAUCCACUUUUUCGUGGGGCAGAGAUUGCCGAAGGUCGAUGAAGCAGGCAACAAGAUAGAUGCUCGCGAUUCUUCUGAUUCUAGGGGAUGAAGGAAGAAUGCCGCUCUAUUGCGAUCGAGAAAGCCACAGCUUAGCAGCUCUGGCCAGCUUUCGCUCCAUCUGACGAUCCUCCCAUCCAUCCUGGUGCUUCUCUCCCUCUCAGCCAGAGCCGCGCAAGCCAUAGCCACCACUAAAGUAGCACCGCUAGGCGAGGAGCUUGGAGAGAGGGAUGGCUGUCUAGCGGCCAAGUGUGGCUGGGACUCCAACCUCUUCGUGGCCAACACGCUCAUUGGUAUGUACUCAAAGUGUGGCUGUGUGGCCGAGGCUUACGCUGUUUUCUCCAGGUUGACGCUCUGUCUUGGAACUCUCUCAUGCUCACUACACUCUCGGGCUAUGGAGCUGGGCUUUGUGUCGGAUGUCUACGUUGGAAGCACGCUGGUCGACAUGUACGCGAGCUGUGGGAGACUGGGCCGUGCUCGAGAGGUGUUUGAGAAGAUGAGGCAGCGGGAUGCUGUGUCGUAGACCACCAUGAUCCAGGGAUGCAUAAACAACGAGGAAGGGGAGAUGGCUUUGCAGCUGUUUCGACGUAUGAGCUCCUGCGAAGAUGGUGUUCUACCCGAUGGUUCCACCUACGUGGCGGUGUUAACGGCUUGCGCUGGCCUGGCUGCGAGAGAAGUGCUCGUAUGAGGAUCCGGGAAAGCUGGUGAAGCUCCAGUCUUUGCAGAAGGGGAUGGAGAUUCACAGGCAGGCUUUAAAGUCCGGCUACUCUUCGGACUUCUUCGUGGCCAGCUCCUUGGUGGUGAUGUAUGGCAAAGUGUGGAAGUAUGGCGGAUGCUCGGGCAAUCUUCAACAGGCUUCCUCGUUAUGAUGCGGUGUGCUGGACGGCACUGAUACUCGGCUACGCGGAGAGCGACGAGGCCGAGCUAGCUUUGGAGCUCUUCUGGUGCAUGCAACGAGAAGUAGGCUGUCUUCCGCGCUCUCGGACGAUUGUCACAGCACUGGUAGCUUGCAUGGGACUGGCAGCGAAGGAACAAGGUCAGCAGAUUGAUGGAAAGCACGUGAAAGUUUCGUGUUUGGACAAAGGCAUGGGUAUCCACUGUGAAGCUGCGAAGUUCGUUUUCGUAGCCAGCAGUCUCGUCGACUUUUAUGGGAAGUGUGGAAGCGUGCUGGAUGCGCGGCUUACCUUUGACAGAAUGCCGCGGCAUGACACGGUGGUGUGGACAGCGAUGAUCCAGGCCUGUGGAGAGAAUGGAGAGGAUGAAGCGGCAGUGGAGUUAUUCCAUUGCAUGGAGACUCGGGGGCUGCUGCCAAACGCUUGGACCACUGUCGCUGCGCUGAGUUCCAUUGCUACUUUGGCUGCUGCAAGGGAAGAAGAGGACUGCGUGGGGACGGACUACUUGGAGAGCGUGACGAGCAUCUCUCGCUGCCGCGACGUCCACUUUUAUCAUGGAGAACACGCUGAUUGACGCCUACUCCAAAUGCGGUAGCGUGAUGGAUGCCCGGAAGGUGUUCGAGUCCUGGAACGCUCUCAUACUUGGGCUCGUAGACAACGGGGAAGCCGAGCUUGCGACCGAGAUGUUCGCACGCAUGACGCAGAACGAGAGCAGUCCAGCAGCGGCGAACACCCGGACUUUUGCCGCCGUGCUCACGGCUUGGAGCAACUUGGCAGCCUUGGAGACUGGAAAGCUCGUCCACGCUCGCGUUUGCCGGCUGGGGGUGGAGUGCGAGCCAUACGUAUCCAACUGCCUGGUGGGACUCUACAGCAGAUGCGGGUCUAUAAGCGACGCCGAGGAGCUGUUUGGUUCCAUCAGCGACCGGAAGAGCGCGGUGGCAUGGUCGGCGCUGCUAGGCCAAGGAGCUUGCGAGAAAGUGUUUAGCUUGCUCGAAGGAUCCGCAGGGAAGGCUUAGCAUGGCGUGGUACAGGAGCUCAAGCACUACCACUGCAUGAUCGAUAUGCUUGGAAGGGCCAACCUGGUGGGUGAAGCGGUGGAGACGGUGGAAACCAUGCCGUAUAGAGCAACAGCCAUGACUUGGACGAUUGUCUUGGCGGCGCGCCGCUGGGAUUGGUGAAGCUGAGAGAACGCGGCGGCCUACUUACAGCCACCGGGAGGUUGAUCUCUCUCGCAAUUAGUCGGUUUGGUUCCACGUCAGCUGAAAGUCUGAUGUCAGCACCUAGAAUUUUACAUGGAUUUGAUGUGGCACCCUGAGAAGAAUGGAGGGAGCGAAGCCCAAACCAUCGAGGAUGAGAAGUGGAUGCGAUUGGAGGAGGCUUUGUGUUUUGAUCCCUUCGAAAGCUGACGAUUCGAUCAAACUUCGUGUCUUGGCUUUGGUUCCUCCAGUGGUAGUGGCGUUGCCUUUUUGCAGCAUUAUUCGUUGCCACUACAUUUGAUGGUUCCACGACGGGCCACGUUCACAGUGUUCUCAUGGAAAUGCAAGUCAGAGCUUUGAAAAACCAUGGAACUUAAAUUGUUGCAUCUUCAGAUGAGCAUAGCAACGGCUUACAGAGUCCCACAAAAAGUACGCUCCAUUUCACAAGUAAUUUCCUUUUUCUAUUUCUCUGUUCUUGUCGUUCCCAAUGUGAUAAUCUCGUGACAGCUUAAGCUCUCUGGAAAAACGAGAGGCUUGUAAAGACUGCCCGAGGUUCCAAUGUUAUUCAAGUAAUUUACAUGUUUCAGUGCUUUUUUAUCUCUGGUGUGGAGUAUGGAUGUUUUUACUAAUCAACAGGAAAUGGAAGAAAAUGUUUCAGUUCGAUCAAAUUCGCUACUCCAUCGUUUCUGCGCAUUAUUUAAAUUUAAAUUAUCAUAACUUGGUUCCUCAGUGCCUUUCCUAAGUUCAGGGCCCGACUUGGGAAGAGCUGCUCAUGCAGUUGAAAAAUGGUCAUCAAUCUAUGUGGUGUGCAACGCGUUACACUUGCGAGAGCCGUGCAAAGAACGUUUGAUCCUGCAUUUAGCUUCGUCAAGUCUUAUAACCAAACCAUGCAUUAAACAAGCUGAUCUUUGUGAUCUUCUUUAGGAUCAUAGCUGCACAAGCAUUUGCAUGGCUCUUCCGAAGCCGGUCCCAUGCCCAAACAGGCUGCUGUGACUGUAAAAACAUCUAUCUUUCUAUCUUUGUAAUCUCUAAAUUCUUUCGUCGCGUCAUGGAAAAUGAGGCCAAUCCCAAGAAUGAGUCAAUUUUGUCUUUUUGACACAACAUGGUAGACAAUUGGACGCUGGAAGCUAUAAGUAAGCUUUAUAGUGAACUACAAAUCUCAGUGUGGACGAGAGAAGCAUGAGAUUAAAUUUUUUUUUAGUUAGAGGUCUAAAAGUCCAGAGUCCAGAGUCGAGAGCAUCCGAUGUUCUAGAGGCACAGCGAGGGGUCUUAAACUGAGCUGGGCGUUUCUGACGGCCUCCUCUGACCAGCUCGAAUGAAUCGAUCACCCCGUCCAUGAUUGUGUAUAGAUAAUAUUCUUAAAAAGGAAUAUGAGAUGUCAGCCAUACAUGAAUGGUUCAUUUUGUGUUAAGGUUACACUUAAUAAAAAACAAUGUGAAUGGAGAUUUGUCAUAGCCACUCCCAAUCUUAUAGGCUGUGCCAAAAAUAUAUAAAUCAAACCAAAAAAUGUAUUAAUUAUUUUGUAUAUUAAUCAUACAUAUCAAGCUUCAAAAUAAAAUUAGCAUUAAUAUAUUAUUUUUAAUAAAAAUUUAAAUAAAUUUUAUAAUAGAGUAAAUUAAUUUUAGUGGAAAAUAGUUCCCAAAAAUAAAAUUUAAAUGAUCAUAUAUUUUAAUAUGAAAUUUUUAUGACCCCAUAAAGAAGUAUUAUUUUAAAAUAAAGAUAUAAUUUCUACAAUUUUAAAACACAUUUACAAUUUCAUAAUACCUACUAAAAUAUAUUUUUCUAAGUUAAAUUCUUUUAAAAAUGUUAUUGUUAGUCACUCUUUAACUUAACAUUAAUUUAUUUUUACUAUCAGUAAUAUUGGUAUUAAAUAAAUGAUAUGGAAAAUAGUUGUAUAAAAAUGCAUAAAUAAAAUAUAUUUUACAAUUGUAAAAAGUAAUACUGAUACUCUUAUACUUUAUAAGAACAUGACAAUUUUAGUGAUGUCUAAAUUGUUUUUAUGAAGUAAGGAGGAAGAAAACCAAUAACAAAUUAUAGUAAUGUGUAUUUACAUACCAAAUAAUAAAUAAUAAAAUCAAAUAAAUUACUUAAUAAAUAUCUUUAAAUAUAGAAUUAUUUAAUAUAAAAAUUACAAUUGUGAAUCAAAUUCUUAUAAAUAUAGUUUUAGUUAAAUUAAAAAAAAUUAUUUAAAGAAAACUACUAAAACUACCAAAAGAUUUUAUUUCUCACUUAGAAUUUAUUAAACAGUCAAACUAGCUUAUUAACAUUGUUUCAUUAUAAAAGAAUUUUAUAUAAAUAUACAUAUGUAAAGAUGAGGUGAGACCAUUUCUUGCAAUUCAGGGCCAAAGGAAUUUCCUUUAGAAGCUCUAUAGCAUCAACUAAAUGGAUUCCCCUUCCCAUGAUUAUAUAAUCAUAAUGAUAUUUUUUAGUUUCAAUAGUUCCAAAUUAUCUUUUAGAUGCUUAUUGCAAGGACACUAUCAUACUAAACUUAAAUGAAGCAUAACAUUGAAAAAUUUGCAAGCUCUUCCAUUUUGGGCAUAAGCAGAAAUCAUCUAAUAUCAAUCUCGUUAAAGAGAAUCUAUGCAUUAUUAAAUUAUUUUGUGUUUGCUAAAGAACGAAAAAAGAAAAAUAUGGAAGCUACUAAGUUAUAUGCUACCAACAAAUAUGGGUAAAAUAAUGCCAUGGAGCAGUAUAAAUUGUUUCUUUUACUAAAGAUAUGAGUUUAACGUUGGUAAUAUAUCAGAUUCUUGUGAAAUAAUGGUUUGUGUUUUAUGUAUUUUUAGAGCUUUCAAACCAGAGUGAAAUAGUAUAUUUUAAGAUGAUGUUGCAUAUCAAGUAGUGGAUCGUCUGGGAAACACCAGGAACCAUGUAAGAAAAAUAUACUUGAGAUCAAAAACAUUACAAAUAAGGAAGACAAAGUAAUUAUUAGUAAGCAUCAAAACAUAAAAUAAUAAUGAUAUAAAACUUUUUGUGUUUGAAAUUUAACUAAAAAAUAUAGUAUCAUAACUGAAAAUGAUAUUAUCAUCAAUGUGAGUAUUUAAAAAUCUAUCUAAAUUUUUUUCCAUAGUCCUUUUUAAAUUUAACUUUAUAGUAGACUUAAUAAUAAUAAAUAUUAAGUCUAGUAUUUUAAAAUGUUUACUAUUAUUUAAUUGUAUAUAUUUUAAGAUGGUUUUCGAGUUUUAUAAUAAUUAAAGAAUAAAACUUAAAAUUUAUUAAUAUUCUAUAUCUUAAAAAAUAUCAUAUCAAAAAUUAAAUAAUUUAAUAUUAAUAUAUUUAAACUAUAGCUAAUGAAAUAUUAUUAGAAAAUAGAUAAAAUCUAUUAAUCUCAAAAGCCUACUAAAAAACUGCAUGUUGAGAAAACCAUUAUGGAUUCAUGUAAAAAUAUGCAUUUAAGGAUUUAGUGAAGAAAUUCCAUUUUACAUGUAAAUUUAGAGUUGUACACUUUAUGUUUUUGAGAGAAAACUAAUAAUAAUUUUUGUGAUAGAAAUUAUAAAAUUUGAUAUAUUCAUCCUAAAUCUUUUAGCAAAAGGGAUAUUUUAUAUUAUGAAAUAAAUCAAUAUUUUAGGAAAAAACCAUUAGGUAUAAAUUUUAAACUCUCUCUCUCUCUGUAUAUAUAUAUAUAUAUAUAUAUAUAUAUAUAUAUAUAUGCUUUAUGAAAAAAUAUGUUAUUGUUGGUUGAGUUGUACACUGAAAAGUAAUGAAUCAUAAUUUUUUGUUAUAUUAAUAGUUAUAAUGUUUUAAAUGUUAGUAAUUCAUAAUAUAAUUUUAUUCAGAAAUAAAUUUUAUAUUUAUUAUUAACUUAAUCUUAUCUAUUUUUUUCUUUUCUAUGUUAAUAUUGACUUUUUUUUCAAUUGUUUUUGGUCUUGAUAAAUGUACAAGCUCUAAAUUCAUUUACAUGGUUACAAAGAAUGAUACUUUAUUAAAUUAGUAGGAUGUUAAAUUGAAGAUUGUAAUAGUUCAUGAUAUAAAGAAUGUUUAUUGUAAAUACUAUUAUUAUUACAUAGUUUCAAAUCUUUUAAGCUGCUCAAAAUUUUAAAAUGACCUUAAAGAGAAAACCAAAUAUGGGAAAAACAAAAGCUGCUAAAGGCUAGUAUAUAGAAAAUUUAAGUUCAAUUUCAAAAUGCAUAUUUGUGGAUGGAGUGAUUGUUUUAGUUAUCAUUUACAUGAACCACAUUUCUGUUGAGACUACUUGUAUUGUUUUAAUUUUUUGCCACCUCUUGGGAGGUUUUGAGUAACCAUAGCUACGAUCAAUUAAUUUAGCAAUUUGACUAAUAUUGUAGCUUUUGUUUAAAUUUUAGGUUGUUAAACUUGGGUUGCAUCAGAUAUGAAUUGGUAUUGUUACCUGGUUGUGUGGUUCCAACACAUAGCACACACAAAGCAAAAAGGAGUGGAGUUUAGCAUCUUUCAUGGAGCACAACCUCCAAAUAAAAUCUUUCAGAUUUUGGAUUUCAAUUUGAUUUAGAUCUAGGAUUUUGAUAUUUUUGUUAUUAUGUUGAAUGACAUUGAUUAUGCACAUUUGCAACAAUUAUGCCAAGGCUAGAAAUCUGCAUUUGCUUAUGCAUUUGAAUUCUAAAUGGAUACCACUGAUAUUUCAUGGGACAAUAUAUAUUUCAUGGGACAAUGCACAACACUAAUGGUUCCUUAGUUCCAAGCCAGAGAGUAGUAUGCAACUAUAGUUUAAGGGUAUACAGUUUAGGUUUCAUAAUUUUCUCAACCAAUUUAAACUUUAAAUCACUAUGCACUCUAGCCAAUAUUUAGGCCAAAGUACAAUAGAGAUAAGGGAUAAAGAUUCUGUUGCACAUAUCAUAAACUCAUACAUUAAGUUGAGGUUGUUCAGUAGGAUAAAGAUAACAUAGCCAACUUCAAGCAUAAAUGUUUAUAGAGUAUAAUUGAUUAAUCAACAGUUAGGAUUACAACUUUGACACUUAAGGCUACAAUCUUGAUAGUCAGGAGUUAGGAAGAAGUGGUAGUUACCAACAUGUAGGAGUAGUUAAGGGGGAUAGUUAGCACUCAAGUUUAUUUCAAGUCAUUCUCUUCUGGGUGUAUCAUGGAUUCUAUUGGCAUCGAUAUUAUGGGUGUCCAAGGGAAGUUUGAAAAGGUAAAUAUGUAUUUUAUAUUUUUAUCUAAUUUUUAAACUUUCUUAUUUUCCAAAUUGGACCUAUCAUGCCUUUUGUAGAAACAUACAUAAUAGGUUUCAUGAUAGCAAGUGUGUAACACAUGUUUUACCUAGGUAUAAUUGUUCCAUUGACAUUAUACCCAACCUUGUGGAUGGGCAGAUUCACAACACGUUUCCAGGGUAUUGAUUUCAAACUCUAUUAGCGAUACAAGUUUUGUUUAAGCUUUAUUGCUCAUCAAAUGGUGUUGUGAUUGAUUAUACAGUAGGUUCUAUGGUGGAGGUAGCAUAUGACUUUGGUAGAUCGGUAUUUGCUAUUAAAGAAUAUCAUUUAUUCAAAUAUUGGGUUAGAGGAUUUUGUGAGUUGCCUCCAACCUUAAAGAGGUAAAUUAUGUUUAUUAAGAUUUUAAUAUAUGUUUAGUUUUGUUUUAUAAAUCACAUUCACCUAGAGUUUCUAGAAUUGGAGGCUUUGGAAGUCUUUCCAACUAUACAAAAGCUAUGGUUUAACAAAUGCAAGGUAAAUCUUCCCCACAAUACCAAUAUAGGAGGAGGCAUAAAAAGAAUCAAUAUAUUGAUGAUGAGACAGAAGAAAGUUAAUUGCAUCUUUACAUAAAAUGAAAAGCUUAUUAUAUAUCAGAUGUUUGUAAAAGUGUUAGAUGUUAGUGAUAGUGUCAAUGUUAGAUAUCAUAAUUGUAAAUUAUCAUUCCACCUAUCAUCAUCACUUUAUAGCACUUGUGUGUUGCUAUCUCCUCUUUCAACAUUUUGUAAACAAUUGUAUGUAUGAUAGCAUCGUCUAGAAGAAGGUAUAUUACCUAUAACUAAUAUUAUUUCAUUAUAUAUAUAUAUAUUCAUAUUAUUUUAAAAGUGACAAUAUUAUAGUAUAGUAAAGUAAUUCUAAAUUUUACAUUCCACUAUAGGGUAGUUUAAAAACCCUAUAUUUCGCACUAGCUAAUGCAAUAUUUUCUAAGGGGAUGCUAUUUCUCACUAUGAAGAAAUAGUGGGUAUAUGUCUAUAAUUUAUUCUUGAAUCUAUUGUACAUCCACAUAUACAUAUUUUCUAGACCCACAGUUGGGCAAUUGUUAUAGUGCUCAAGAAAAAUUUGUAAACCCAUAGAAUUAUUUGUCUUAUCCAAAAAAUAGCAACAUAUUGGAUAUUGAAUAUAAUAGUGUUCUAUGCUUUUAAGUAGUUAUGCAAUGUCAGAAGCAAGAUCUUGCAAAAACAUAUAGCAUUGCUCUUGAAGCAUUGGAGGCAAUCUUUCUUUAGUAGCAAGAUCUAGAAUUUUAUAUAGAGAGUUCUAGUUCAACUUCACUAGAACCCCAAGUAGAAAGAGGAUUAUUAUGUGGAAGUAAAAGUGUAAUGUUGGUAGAACUUAAGGAUAGAGGUGGAGAUUGAUAUAAAAUGUUUGGGGGCCAAGUAUGAGUAACAGUAACUAGUAACUUUCUUUUGAGCUAUUUCGAUACAAAUUUCCAAGGAGCCCAAUUGGCUUUAUAUAGCCAUUCAAAUGUAAUUAAGCUUGUAUAAGAUUAGAUGUAAAAAGGUUGAGAUUAAUAUUGACCAUGAGGUAUGAUUUUAUAAUUGUUUAUUUUCUUCCUUGAUGCCAUUACAUAAUCAUCUUUUACUAACUAAGUGAUAUUUAUAAUUUCUCAAAAAAGGGCAGGGGACUAAGGAAAAAAGGAAAAAAGGUAUCCUAGUAAGAAAAAAAUUUCAUUAGUCCCACAUAACAAGUCAAAGUAGAAUAUUGGCUGGUGAUAUAAAGUUUAUUUUGGUUAAAAAAACUAUAAAACCUAGAGUAUAUAUCCUCAUAUACCAAGAACUAAAAAAGCCACUACAACUUGUUUGUCUCGUAAUUCCAAAAGAGUUUGGCGUCUAUCUAUAAGUGGCAAAGAGCAACGAAGAUGCCCUCUAUAAUGAGAGCUGCAAGCUCUCUUGGACUUCCCAUAGCUCCUGCACACGUGAGAACAUAGAGAUAUUGUCCAUGUUUCGCCAGCAGAACAUUGCUCAAAUCCUUUGUAUUUGCCAAGGCCCAUGUGAGUAAGGACCGCCACUCCUCCCUACUGAUCAAACUUGCCUCACCCAAGUUGUAGAGUAUGUGAUCAUGGGAUAAGAUUUGAAUAUACUGUCACCGUGGAUCCUUAGAACCUUGAGGGAUAAAUGGGAAUAAAAUAGCCACUAAAGGCUCUCUUAUCAAGUAAUUACCCCUUUUUUAGUUGGAUUAAGGGGAGAGAAAUAAAGUGUGCUAUAUAUGGUAUUGGAGUAAAUAAUACGGAUUCAAUUCCCAUUGAUUAGUGGCUAUUUAAAAAAUAUAAUAUACCCUUGAGCAAGCCUCUAAAAUUAAAAUUGUAUGUAUUGGGCAUCCAUACGUAUAUCCUUCUUGGUGGAGCAUCCAUAGACGAAGGUAUCCACCGUGGGACUGUGGUACGGGUGGAUGAUUAGUUGCCUCAUAUGGAAUAACUAGUUUACACAAUGGAAAGAUUGGUAAAUUUAGUGCGAAAAUGGAAGUGUUAGUUCUGCUUGGUUCAGUAGGGGUUGUUAGUCAAUAAUCAAUGAGGACAUUGACAUCUCUAAAUAGGGGGUGAGUGUAGUGCAUAUGAUCAUGGGAUAAGAUUUAAAUAUACUAUCACCAUUGUAGCGCAUGUGAUCAUGGGAUGAGAUUUGGAUAUACUGUCACCGUGGAUCCUUGGAACCUUGGGGGAUAAAUGGGGAUAAAAUAGCCACUAAGGGCUCUCUUAUCAAGCAAUUGCCCCUUUUCCAGUUGGCUUAAGGGGAGAGAGAUAAGGUGCGCUACAACCAUAGAUCCUUAGAACCUUGGGGGAUAAAUAGAGAUAAUAUAGCCAUUAAAGGCUCUUUCAUCAAGCAAUUGCCCCUUUUUUAGUUGGAUUAAGGGGAGAGAGAUAAGGUGCACUACAAUAGUGCCGCUUUAUCAAACUAACAUUUAAUAGUAGCGUAAGGGGGAAGUGGAGGCUAGUGACUCCCAAGACCAAGUACGUGAGUAGCAAUCAUCCAAGCGGUUCAUUCCCAUCAACAAAGGGAUGUAUCACCUGGAACUCCAAGAAGAAGCGUGCUGCCAAUUUGGCCAUGUCCAUAAUGAGAGCUGCAAGCUCUCUUGAACUUCCUAUGGCUCCUGUGUGCAUGAGAAUAGAAAGAUACUAUCCAUGUCUCACCAAUGGAACACUACUCAAAUCCUCUGCAUUUGCCAAGGCCCGCAUGAGUAAGGACUACCACUCCUCCCUACCAAUCAAACUCGCCUUGCCCAACUUCUAGUCUGCUCUUUUUUAGCACACAUAUGACAUCACCAAGUUUUGGCAUGAUCGGUGAGAAAGGAUUGCGCAUAUGCAACUUUUGUAUAAUUAUCUACUUCUGCUGUUAUGAAAUAGUUUUCCAUAUUGUAGACCCAAUCUUCCAAAACCUAAUAGUUCUGCAUGCCUCUAAAAUUAGGUGGUUUUGGAGACCUUAACUUUGAAACUUGUGCAGCUAGGGGCGGUUGUAGAACUUCAUCGUCCUUAGAACUUGAAGAGGAGUUCAAUUGUUUAGGUUUAACUGCCUCAAUUUCUUUCUUCUUCUUUUUGUUCUCCUUCUUCAAUUUGCAAACUUCCCUUCACAAAUUCUUUAUCUCAACUUCUUGAGUCGUAUGCUACAGUGCCAUAGCAUUUGGCUCUUCCUCUUCUAACUUAGCCUCAUCCUCUUCUGUAACAUCUCUAGCAAAAGUUUCCUUCUCUCAAUUUGCCCAUCUAUAAGUUUCAACAUCAUCAAUAUGAUUCCUUUUCACCAUCUCACUAGUUGCAUAUAUGCCUCUAUCAAUAACUAAAUAUACAUAUAACAUUUUUAGCAGAUGGUGCAAUCCAACUAAUCCUAUAUAGGUCACUUCGGAUCUACUAGAAAGUCUUUGCAUAUACAACUUGAGUAAAAAAAUCUGACAAAAGUUGGAUAGGAAUCACUAAGACAAUUCCUUUAAUACCAAAUGUAGCACACUUAAAUUUGGAGCCCAAUUCCAAGCCUGUUGUGUUACAAAACAAGGGUUCGGUAAAAUCUCACAAGCACUAGCCCCCCACCUCUCUCUCGAUGAUUCAUUUUGAAAAAGAGUGUGGUUGUGUAAACAACUUCAUCUGCUAGUUUAUAAUAAUUGUCUAAAUCUUCCCAACAAGGUUGAUUUCUUGCUCAGAGGAAGUUAGGCCUCUAGUCUUCUCCCUAUAUCCCUGCAGGCAAGGAUGUAUCAUUCCUUUGUAAGCUGAGUGGUACUCGGAGCAGCAAGUGUGGCUAACUGCUAUUUAAAUUUAGUAGCCAAGGGUGGCUAACUAAUUUAAAUAUUCUUUUUUUACUACUAUAAUAGUAGAAGAUUAAUAUUGUUAGUUCCUUUUAUUAGUCUUUGCCCACACUAGUUAAAAAACCUAUGCUUAUAGCAUUGAAAUUGUAAUAUGGAUACAUACCCAAAAUAAAUAUAAUUUCCUUUCCAAAAAAAGUAGGGUUUUAAAGGAUUUAUACUUAAAGUGGUAAAUACAAAUUCAUCUUUUAUACUCCAUUGCUUUAACAUUUUAUUAAUUAUUUUUCUUUCUCUCAAUGACAAGUCUGUACUAUGCAAUAUAGUUAAUAUUCCACUAACUUCUUGUGUGGAAAGGGGUUGUUCCAAAUGUAUAGUAGGGAUCCACCCUUGGCUACUAAAUUUAAAUAGCAGUAGAAGUGGGAGUCUGGUAGUUCACAGCCAAGACCACAUGCUAGUGGCAAGAUUAAAGCCAUAAUAAGGAGCAAAGAGUGUGGAAGCAAGUCCAAGACCAAGAGCCAAGUUUUGGGUAGUUGAUUGAUGAGUUUUUCGUAUACUUUUCUCAUCACCUCUCUAUAUUCAUCAUCUCAGAAUAGCUAAGCAUGAUUCAAGCUUAGAUUCAGGCUUGGAUCAACUUCUUGAUCAUGAAUGGGAGUGUUAGAGGUAGAGAUGAUGUGGCAUGUAGAUAUGCCCAUGUGGCAGUAGUUCCAUGUAUAUGUACCAUCCAUAUACAGUUGAAUACAUAGAGAGAAAGUUCUUCCUCCUUGUGUGCGUCUCUCUGCUGCUAACAGAUGCCACCGUGUGUGGCAUUGGUCCUGCAUCCGAGAAAUGCCAGGCAAUCCAGGCAUUGUAUUUCCUUCAGACCAUGGCAUACGAUGCUGAAGCUCUUGCUACAGAAAACAUUCGAUGGCCUAAGGAGUUUUAUCUCUGAUUGUCAAUUGUAUAAUGUCCCUGAUAGGUGUCUCCAUUCCUUUACAAAUGACGGUAAGAUCCAGCAGGUCAUUUUCUUAAAAACAGAUGGAAGAAAAGCUGAAGCAUUGGUAAACAGAGACUACUUGGCAUUUCCACUAAUUUUCAGUGGUUUUAGCAGCCAGCAGUUGCAGCUAGUUAGGUGUCAAACUUGCACUAUCAACUUCCAAAUUUUCUGUGCUCGCAGACGAAGAUCGAGGCCGUCACAACCUGUGAUUGCAAGGUAACAAGUAUCCUUUUUGGAAUUCUUCAAAAUCGGGACAAGAAGUCGUGGAUAGGAUUUGACAGUUCUAGUUUCUUCUCGACAAGUAUGGUGAAAAUCAAAAUGCGCUUUUAUGCUCGAAAAGAUUAGAAACGAUGCUUCUAGAGAAGCCCCAUAGCUGGUUCACUACUCUGGUUAGGCCUUUGUAACAUGUUGGGGAGCUUGGAUGUUGUAUAUCCGUAGCUUUCAGUCCCAACCAGCGAACACCUUGUUCCUACAGCAACAUAUAUGUGGCACCUCUUACAUUCUAUUUCGUUUCACUGCUUUAUGGACCGCAUGAGAAUCUCACACUCUGCGAUGGUGUCACCUGCCCCAAAUCACAGACGGUCACAUUCGAUUGAACUCUGCGUGCAGUGCCAAGACAAUCGGGCAGAUCAUAGAAAAAUGCGGCUUGACCCAAAUAUGUGAAGCGAUAGAAGAGUGGACAUAUCGAGGUGCAAGGAUUGGGCUGGGCCGUGUAACUCACUCCUGGGUCUUGGCAAGCUGGGAGCAUGUAAACAUCGAGCUUGCUGUUCCCAUCAACUUGAGUGAUUAAGAUUGCUCCCAUUGUAAUCACUGCCAUGAUCUUCAAGAGCUUGAGUGCCUGAUCAGAGAUGUUAUUUAGGUAAUACUUUGCAAGGUGUAGCCAAACCAUUUCUCCAAGGAUGGAUUGCAAUUGACGAACUAGUGUUCUCUUUCUAUAGGAGUUGAAGUGCUCGUAUGUCGCAAGGUAAUUCAUUAUAAUUUAUAACAAUUGGCAUGAUCUAAUUCGUGCUCCGCGAGGAUGUUUUGUUUUUUGUAAAGUCUGUUCAGCUAUACACCAGACUACUGUAUAGUGUGGUGUAAGUAAUAUGAGAAAAAAAAUCCUUGCGGAGCGCGUGACGAUCGUGCAUCCAAAUUGCCAUAAAUUAUACUUGAGAAACUAAUCCUCGCGACCCACGAGCACUUCAAACACUUAUGAAGAAGACAACACUAGUUCAACUCCUCAUCCUAGCUUUCCAGAAGCCUGUUGCUAAGGAGCAAUGGUUCAUAGAAGCAUUAAUUCAUCCAUUCUCAAGCCUUUUUGUUAAACACAGGAAGUUCAGUUCUCGCGUCAUCAAGGGAACAGUAGCCUGGAUGUUUAUCUACUGGGUUGCCAGGAUCCUGGAGUAAGCUGCGGGGCAGGAACAUCAGCCCUACAUGCUCCAAUUUGUGCAUGCCUGCCAUUUCUGCUGGCUAUAGAUUCACGUUUGAUGGACAGUUCGGUCUCCUCUUCAGCCAGCCCAACUGCAUGGGCUCAACUACGCGCUUGACUUCCACCCAAGAAGUUUGUGCAGUGGGGAGCUCUAGCCCAAUCAAGUCAUUCAAGUUUGUGUGUUAGUCUUUAUUCUUUAUGAGAGAGUAUGCUCAAAACAUUUCUUUGUUGUGAUCUAUCUUUAGUUUUGCAACAAAUGUGACAUUGUUGCAUUCUUGUGAAAGAGCUCCAGACCAACUCUCCAUGCUCUAUGUAGCCUUAGAUCAUUUUAGUGCACGCAUAAUAAUGUUGUAGUUGGUGAUGUCAAAAACUCAGCAAAUCACAACGGGGCCCAAGAUACCUUGCGGGAACCAUUUCAUGGAAGAUUCGGCGCCAAAAAGUUGUUUCCCGUGAGUUUACAGUCCGAACAAAGACGAGCAACGGUGACUUCAGGAGAUGAGAUACCUCAGAGUCAUAGAGAGUCAUGAUCAUAGAGGUUAUCACUCUCCAGUCGCGAGCAUCGCAUUAUUACAGAACACGACGGGAAUCCUGGAUCCCACUAACAAGAUAUAUGUGCCACGACUGUUCCUUAUAUUCUAUUUCGUUUCACUGCUUCAUGGGCUGCAUGUGAAUCUCACACUCUGCAAUGGUCUCACCUGCGCCGCAUCACAGAGUGACACAUUCGAUCGAACUGUGGUUGGAGUGCCAGAACAAUUGGGCAGGUCAUAGAAAAGUGCAGCUUGGCCUAAGUAUGUGAAGCGAUAGAAGAGUGGAGUGGCCACACAUACCGCCGUGCAAGGAUUGGGCUGGGCCGUGUAGCUCACUCCUGGGUCUUGGCAACCCGGGAGCACGUAAACAUCGAGCUUGCUGUUUCCAUCAACUUGAGGAAUUGAGAUAGCUUCCAUUGUAAUCACCACCAACACUGCUGCCAUGAUCUUCAAGAGCUUGAGUGCCUGAUAAAAGGCAAAGAGACGUUAAUAGGUUUAGUACUUUGCAAAGUGUAAGCCUGACCAUUUCUCCAAGGAUGAACUAUAAUUGAAGAACGGGACUUCUCUUU